rfam:Schistosoma curassoni strain Dakar, Senegal genome assembly, scaffold: SCTD_scaffold0003125
AUUUAGAUGAUGCGUCCCAAAAAUAGGACGAAACGCUCGUCCUGGAU